rnacentral:rRNA from 1 species
AUUGAACGCUGGCGGCAGGCCUAACACAUGCAAGUCGACCGAGUGGCGGACGGGUGAGUAAUGUCUGGGAAACUGCCCGAUGGAGGGGGAUAACUACUGGAAACGGUAGCUAAUAACGCAUACCAUCGGAUGUGCCCAGAUGGGAUUAACUAGUAGGUGGGGUAACCGCUCACCUAGGCGACGAUCCCUAGCUGUUCUGAGAGGAUGACCAGCCACACUGGAACUGAGACACGGGCCAGACGCCUACUGGAGGCAGCAGGGGGGUAUAGUGCACAAUGGGCGCAAGCCUGUUGCAGCCAUGCCGCGUGGAUGAAGAAGGCCUUCGGGUUGUAAAGUACUUUCAGCGGGGAGGCUGUACCCGCAGAAGAAGCACCGGCAAACUCCGUGCCAGCAGCCGCGGUAAUAC